AGGCAUGGAUCAAAAAGAGACAUAUAUUACAUGCAUCCUACUGUUUUUAAAGAACAAUCUGUUGUUGAUCGGGCAAUUAAUGACAUCUGCAUCCUCUUGCAAUGCAGUCGACAUAACCUUAAUGUGGUGUCUGUUGGAAAUGGGUGCGUACCUCUAUACAGUUCAUAUUUCCUUGCAGGAGUGUGCUUCUAGACA